AUGAUCCAUAGUUUUGUGGCUGGAGGUAGUGUUGCCAUUAAAGUCAAUGAUGACGUUGGCAACUAUUUCCAACCAAAGAAAGGAUUGCGACAAGGUGACUCAAUAUCGCCCAUGCUAUUCAAUAUAGUGGCGGAUAUGUUAGCGGUCAUGAUUGAGCGUGCCAAGGUUGAUGGCCAAAUUGAUGGGGUAGUGAAUCAUCUAGUGGAUGGUGGUCUUUCUAUCCUUCAAUAUGCCGAUGAUACGAUUCUCUUUAUGGAUCAUGACCUCGAGAAAGCAAGAAAUCUGAAAUUAAUUUUAUCAGCAUUCGAGCAACUCUCAGGGCUUAAGAUAAAUUUCCAUAAAAGUGAAUUGUUUUGUUUUGGCGAGGCUCAAGACGAGGCCCAUCUGUAUGCCGACCUGUUCGGAUGCGGGUUGGGCCAGUUUCCGAUCACUUAUUUGGGUAUACCGAUACAUUAUCGAAGACUCACAAAUGCUGAAUGGAAACACGUCGAGGAGAGACUACAAAAAAGGCUUAGCAGUUGGAAAGGUAAACUGCUAUCUCUGGGUGGGAGGUUGGUCCUCAUAAAUUCAGUACUAAGUAACAUGGUACUGUAUAUGAUUUCCUUCUUCCAAUUGCCGAAAGGAGUUUUACAUAGAUUGGAUUACUUCCGAUCAAGAUUCUUUUGGCAAGGAGAUAGCGAGAGAAAGAAAUAUCGGCUGGCUAAAUGGAGUGUGGUUUGCCGUCCCAAGGACCAAGGCGGGUUGGGAAUUCAUGACCUUGAGGUUAAGAAUAGAGCCCUCCUUGGCAAAUGGUUAUUUAAGUUGUUGACCGAAGAUGGUGUAUGGCAAACCCUCCUUAGGAGAAAAUAUGUGGGUUCAAAGGCGAUAUCCCAGGUAUACUGGAAGCCUGGGGACUCUCAUUUUUGGGCGGGAUUAAUGGCAACGAAGAAAUAUUUCUUCCGCUAUGGGUCCUUCUCAAUUAAGAAUGGCUCGGAAAUUAGAUUCUGGGAGGAUAAGUGGUUAGGUAAUGCUACUCUCCGGGAACAAUAUCCAGCUCUAUACAAUAUUGUACGUCACAAGGGUGAUACUAUUGCCAAGGUUUUGGAAUCAUUUCCGCCCAAUGUGACGUUCAGAAGGGAUUUAAUUGGACCUAGACUUCAAUCGUGGAACAUAUUACUUCAACGAUUAUCCACGGUACAGUUGUCACAGGGGUCCGAUUUAUUUCGUUGGAACCUACAUGAGAAUGGGCAAUUCUCAGUGGAAUCUAUGUAUAGAGCUUUGAUCCAGUCUGACGUGCCAGUUGAUAUUAAUAAGAAGAUCUGGAAGAUGAAGAUACCUCUUAAGAAUAAAAUNNNNNNNNNNUUUGCAUGGUAUCUUCGUCGCGGAGUCAUUCUUACUAAAGAUAACCUUAUUAAGAGAAAUUGGCAUGGAAGUACGCAAUGUGUAUUUUGUCCGCAUGAUGAGACAAUAAAACAUUUGUUCUUCCAAUGUAAAUUGGCUCGUUCUAUAUGGUCAGUCAUCCAAAUAGCUUCUGGCUUGUACCCUCCUUGUAGUGUUGCUAAUAUAUUUGGCAAUUGGUUACAUGGGAUUGAUCACAAGUUCAGAAGUCUACUUAGGGUGGGAGCGCUUGCCGUGAUUUGGUCGCUUUGGCUAUGUAGAAAUGAUAAGAUUUUUAACGAUAAAAGUACUUCGCUUAUGCAGGUUAUCUACAGAUGUACUGGGACGCUUCGUUUAUGGUCCUCUCUACAACGAGUGGAGAAUCGAGACCUGUUUACGGAGGUGUGUACACGAUUGGAGGUUACGGCGAGGGAUACUUUUAUCCAACAUGGGUGGCAGCAUGAUCUUAGGAUUGGGCCACCGACGGUUUAG
rnacentral:rRNA from 1 species